rnacentral:rRNA from 1 species
GACGAACGCUGGCGGCGUGCUUAACACAUGCAAGUCGAACGGAAAGGCCCUGCUUUUGUGGGGUGCUCGAGUGGCGAACGGGUGAGUAACACGUGAGUAACCUGCCCUUGACUUUGGGAUAACUUCAGGAAACUGGGGCUAAUACCGGAUAGGAGCUCCUGCUGCAUGGUGGGGGUUGGAAAGUUUCGGCGGUUGGGGAUGGACUGGCGGCUUAUCAGCUUGUUGGUGGGGUAGUGGCUUACCAAGGCUUUGACGGGUAGCCGGCCUGAGAGGGUGACCGGCCACAUUGGGACUGAGAUACGGACCAGUAUCCUACGGGAGGCAGCAGUGGGGAAUAUUGCACAAUGGGCGGAAGCCUGAUGCAGCAACGCCGCGUGCGGGAUGACGGCCUUCGGGUUGUAAACCGCUUUCGCCUGUGACGAAGCGUGAGUGACGGUAAUGGGUAAAGAAGCACCGGCUAACUACGUG